UUGUGGCCUGCAUAUGUGUAUAGUGUGGCUUAUCCACACUUGCAAUUCUGGAGGCCAUGGUUGCCACUCAUGUUGCAACCCUUCUUCGAGCAGCACACACAUCUCGACGUCCUCUAUAUCAUCACCUACCGGCACCAGCGAGAACAUAUGCAUUGUCCUGUUGUUGUCUUCGUCGAAGCAUUCUAUCAAGCACUUGUUGAGCAUUUGCUUGCCAAGCUCAAGAGUGGCGGACGACUGCAAUGGUAGAAUCAACAAAUGCUCCAAAAGACUAGUUAUAGCCGCAGACAACGCCCCCUGGUAUGGAACACAUCGACACUAUUGAUGCCUUGGCCAGGAUAAUGCUCGAACAAGUGGUGGUUAUCAGCAUGUCGAACUCCAGGUCACUGCAUGGCUGAAGCGCGUUGUCCAGGGAAGGCUCCAUGGAUAUCAUGAGAGGGGCAAGCGCAGUGAGUGUUGAUUGCACCUCACUUUUUAUAGGAGUCAACAUCAUCAUAGGCUUGACAACCUCGGCAUUGGAAACCGAACAUCACCAAAUCCAUGGAUACAAGUGUUCCUGGUGUAUGAAUUAAAGCACCAAACCAUGGUUCACAAAGGAACUACAAUCCAUAGAAGAGAAUCAAGGAUGGGAAAAGCAUAGAAUCAAGGUGUGCAACAAGAGAGAAUGAGGGAGAAGGGAUACACUCGUCUGGUACGAGGGAGGUGUGCAGCAAGAGAGAAUUAGGGAGAAGGGAUAAACUCGUCUGGUAUGAGGGAGGGAGGAGCUGUAGGAGGAAGAAGGCCAAGCCAAUUCUACUCUGUUUGAUGCCUCCGAUUCUAUUUUAUUCGAUGCCUCCCCUCUGCAGAGGUCUUGCUUUAAGGCUUGAUCCGUUCGGCCAAACCCAUGUACAAGCAGCCUACAAAUCUAAUGCGGCUCAGUGAAUACGUAGGGAGUUAUAGGAGGGUUGUUUGAAAUCUUUAUGUAAAAUUUAGCUUCAUGUUUCUCCUUUAAUGUGUGAGCUCGAUGAUUACGAUUAAAGAGGCUUUAAACUUUAAACAAGUCACAAUAUUUUCCCCUGAAAGAAAAUUAUAAAUGCAUGAUCGUAAAAACUUUUCACGAAAGAAUCACGGUAACGGGGCAGCAAACAGUGACGGGGCCUCUGUUGUCAAAAC
rnacentral:lncRNA from 1 species